CCGAAAUGCAAGUUCGGAGACGCACACAAGGCGUGUGCCGGGGCUUCUCCCGUUU
rnacentral:tRNA from 1 species